GUGCUCGCUUUGGCAGCACAGAUGCUAACAUUGGAACAAUGCAGAGAAGACGAGCACAGCCCCUGUGCAAGGAUGACACGCAAAUUUGUGAAGCGUUUCAUAUUUUU